ensembl:snRNA U6 U6 spliceosomal RNA
GUGCUCGCUUUGGUAGCACAUAUUAAAAUUGAUAGGAUACAGAGAAGAUUAGCAUGGCCCCUGCACAAGGAUGACACAUAAAUCUGUGAAUAGAAAUUGGUAAUA